CAUGCAAGUCGAACGGGCACUUCGGUGCUAGUGGCAGACGGGUGAGUAACACGUGGGAACGUACCUUUCGGUUCGGAAUAAUACAGGGAAACUUGUACUAAUACCGGAUACGCCCUUUGGGGGAAAGAUUUAUCGCCGAUUGAUCGGCCCGCGUCUGAUUAGCUAGUUGGUGAGGUAAUGGCUCACCAAGGCGACGAUCAGUAGCUGGUCUGAGAGGAUGAUCAGCCACACUGGGACUGAGACACGGCCCAGACUCCUACGGGAGGCAGCAGUGGGGAAUAUUGGACAAUGGGCGCAAGCCUGAUCCAGCCAUGCCGCGUGAGUGAUGAAGGCCUUAGGGUUGUAAAGCUCUUUUGUCCGGGAAGAUAAUGACU
rnacentral:rRNA from 1 species